CAGUGGGGAAUAUUGCGCAAUGGCGAAAGCCUGACGCAGCGACGCCGCGUGAGGGAUGAAGGUUCUCGGAUCGUAAACCUCUGUCAGAAGGGAAGAAAAAUCAGGGGAGUAACUGCCCUUGACCUGACGGUACCUUCAAAGGAAGCACCGGCUAACUCCGUGCCAGCAGCCGCGGUAAUACGGAGGGUGCAAGCGUUAAUCGGAAUCACUGGGCGUAAAGCGCACGUAGGCGGCUUUGUAAGUCAGCGGUGCAAGCCCUUCGCUCAACGAAGGAAUUGCCGUUGAUACUGCUUAGCUUGAGUUUGUGAGAGGAUAGUGGAAUUCCAGGUGUAGGAGUGAAAUCCGUAGAGAUCUGGAGGAACAUCAGUGGCGAAGGCGACUAUCUGGCACAAUACUGACGCUGAGGUGCGAAAGCGUGGGGAUCAAACAGGAUUAGAUACCCUGGUAGUCCACGCUGUAAACGAUGGAUACUAGGUGCUGGAGGCUUGACUUUCAGUGCCGUAGCUAACGCGUUAAGUAUCCCGCCUGGGGAGUACGGUCGCAAGGCUGAAACUCAAAGAAAUUGACG
rnacentral:rRNA from 1 species